CUAAUAGGAUUGUAUAAACUUAAUCCCAUUCUAAUAGGAAUGUAUAAACCUCUUCCUAUUCUAAUAGGAUUGUAUAUACCUAUUACUAUUCUAACACAUCUGAAUGAGGUGCAUUGCUGUUUAGAGUUUUCAAAACAUGGUUUGACUUUUGAAUCUCGUCCGAAGAAAAUUAAGUUGUAUCAUGUUUUAGAUCUGUUUGUUGUGGGAGUAUAAAUUACUUGGUGAUGGUAUAUCUGAGUUUGAGUUAUAGUUUGUGGAAUCCUAUUUCAAUUGUCAAUAACACAUACAUCUUGGUGUACGAAUUUGUCACCGCUCCUCAAACCUGUUUACAUAGGACAGUUAACUUGCUAACAAGGGGUCAGAUCAUGGUCAAGCAUUAGGUAUUGGUUUUGAGAGAUAUCAGUAACGAGUUAGAUUUGAGGUUAUCUGAAGAUAUGAACUGGGAAGUUUUUUGACCAAGUUUAGUUUGUGUAGUGAUUAGGGAUAGAUGUACAUGAUGCUAGAUGGAAGACUCUGAGGUGCAAUUGCAGAAAUUUAGAAAAACCUAUGACGAAUAAAGAGAGGAAACUAGGGGACAAAACCUUGUCUUCAAGUUAGACCGAUCACAAGUUGUCAACAUGUGAAAUGGCAUGAUUUGAGAAGGAUUCAAGUAUAGUUGUAUAGAUAAACUAUACUAGAUGCAAGUGGCCUUGUUGCAAUGAUCUUAGGCAUGAGAUUCUCACUUUUCCUCAAGAGGAUUUCAUGUUGGUUUAUAAAAAUGUGUAGAUCUGUCAAUGGCUGUUGAGAACUGAUUGGAACGUAAUCCGGUGCACCAAUCUCCAAACUGUUCCAGUUGGAUAUGCUAAAUCAUUAUCUCCGAGAAUGCUAUCUCAUGUCAUAAUAUGAGAAUAAGUUUUUUUGACGGGUGUCGUUUUUGUCCCUUUUGUUUUAUUUUUUUACUUGGGAGUAGAGGGAGAUGUGACUUUUUGGUACUGCAGGUUCCUAACCAUACUGCAGUUUAGUGGUAACUGUCCUUUGACCUACACAACUCUCUGUGGACUGCAUUUUACCGAGCUGGAUGAUUGGUUGAUUCUAAGUUUUAGAUAUUUUUUUCUGGCUGGGGAAGAAAGCAGAGACUUUACAUGGUUUAUUCAUAUAUGCAUAUUUUGAGUCAAUAUGAUCUUCGUGUGUUUGUUGCUCAAGUGUUACAGCACAUCUCAGUGCAUGAUAUAAACCACUGUGCAUUAUGAUUGUUUAUUGAUGAUCAAGUUUCUUAUGUAUAGAUUGAAGCUACAGCCAUGCCUGAAGAAUAUCGUUAUGAGGUUCCAAUUCUGUGCAAUGACUGCAAUAGUACUGGUAAAGCAUUUUUUCACAUACUUGGGCACAAAUGCAAGCAUUGUAAUUCAUACAACACCCGCAUGAUUGGUACUUGCGAAGAUCCCCAAUGACAUACAUGCUCAGCUUGAUUCAAGUGGUGUUUUUUCUCACAUUAGGCGUUCUUGUUCCUUUUUGAUUUGUUUCUUCUAGCAACCAGUGUUACUGUACAAAGAAAUCUGGGAUAGUCCUUGGAUAAAACCUCUCCAUUUUUUCUGUUGCAUAUUGAAAACUUUCAGAAAGAGUAAAAAGAAUUGGCUCCACUCCGACUCUCAGAUUAAGAAAAUGAUGAAUAACAUUGAAGGGAACAAGGUUUCUCUUUAGUA